GGCAAGAGAAAGGAAGAGGAAACUGAGGAUCACAUGAAGUCAAACCCAGAAGGAUCUGUCCUCAGGGCCGAGAUGGCUCCACUGUGGAGGAAUGACUUUCACCUUUGGGUUGAUGCCCUUGUCAGCCAGGCAAAUGAACCUGUGUUGCAUGAGCAGUAGGUCAAGGCCAAAUGUCACGUCCUGGACAUUAUGUCCAUCAUGCACACGGGAGUUCAAUGACCCGGGCCAGCCAAAAGCAGUGGAAGAACAAAAGUCCGUAUUAAGGUGGAGAUAAGUGUCUGUCCUCCGUGCCCGUCUCUGCCUAGCUCCUAACCUCUAUAAACACGGGCCUUAUCACAAGCAUUUAUGGCACUCUGCAUGCCGCAUGAUUACUACAGUCGGAUGGCUGCUGAGUGUCACACAGAAGAAAGGAUGAUUCAGGUCACAUUCUUCCAUGUAUUGUUAUGGUGUUAUGAUUCAGCUCCUGCCAGUUAUUGUGUGAGCGUAGACACAGUAACCUCUACAGGAGUGAUAACUGUGGUAUAUCAUAAUGAGAUCUGUUCAGGAGGGAAAAUGAGACGGCGACAAACUAUUCUGGAAUGUAUUGCAAAAAAGAGAAGUACAAAGACAGUACGAGCUAAAACAAUCACUCGGUGACUGGUGCUGCCAGUUGUGCCCGGCACAUAAUUGCUUUAUGCAGUCAUCAUCUCAUGGACUGACCUUGACUCCAAUGCUCACUGGUUCAGCUAUUCCCAUGGGGUUUCCAUCCUGUGACAGGUGUCAGAGCUUGUGUAUCAGAUGCACUGUCACAAUUAAAAGAGCAGAUUUUAUUGUAGCACUAGUUUCUUGAUGUCCAGAGCUCUAUAGCACGUGUUGUAUCUUGUG